rnacentral:tRNA from 1 species
GGACUGUAGCUCAGUGGCACAGCACUUGCCUAGCAUGUGGGAGGCACUGGGUUCAAUCCGCAGCACCA